CAGCAGCCGCGGUAAUACGUAGGUGGCAAGCGUUGUCCGGAAUUAUUGGGCGUAAAGGGCUCGCAGGCGGUUUCUUAAGUCUGAUGUGAAAGCCCCCGGCUCAGCCGGGGAGGGUCAUUGGAAACUGGGAAACUUGAGUGCAGAAGAGGAGAGUGGAAUUCCACGUGUAGCGGUGAAAUGCGUAGAGAUGUGGAGGAACACCAGUGGCGAAGGCGACUCUCUGGUCUGUAACUGACGCUGAGGAGCGAAAGCGUGGGGAGCAAACAGGAUUAGAUACCCGCGUAGUCCCUGUCUCUUAUAA
rnacentral:rRNA from 1 species